rnacentral:rRNA from 1 species
AUUGAACGCUGGCGGCAGGCCUAACACAUGCAAGUCGAACGCGUGGCGGACGGGUGAGUAAUAUCUGGGAAACUGCCUGAUGGAGGGUGAUAACUACUGGAAACGGUAGCUAAUACCGCAUACCAUCAGAUGUGCCCAGAUGGGAUUAGCUUGUUUGUGGGGUAACGGCUCACCAAGGCGACGAUCCCUAGCUGGUCUGAGAGGAUGACCAGCCACACUGGAACUGAGACACGGUUCAGACGCCUACGGGAUGAAGAAGUGGGGAAUAUUGCACAAUGGGCGCAAGCCUGAUGCAGCAAUGCCGCGUGUAUGAAGAAGGCCUUCGGGUUGUAAAGGACUUUCAGCGGGGAGGCGUUACCCGCAGAAGAAGCACCGGCUAACUCCGUGCCAGCAGCCGCGGUAAUAC